UUUUUUUUUUUUUUUCGAACUUUUUCAAGCUUUAAAAUGAGGGACCAUUUUGUCAUACUUUUAUGUUACGAAUUCCUGUCAGACUUUCUAUGUUUAACUACCUAUUAUUUUUCAAUUAUAAAACCUUGGUUGCCGAGUUUCCUUAAUUCUAAUUUAAAUCGUUACUCUCAGGUACUUCUUCCGGAUGAUGUUACAAAGCUAUGGGCGGAGGUUCGACGACUUUUGCGGUGACCUGUAGACACCGCGCGAAGACGAGGUAAAAAAGAGAGGAAUGCAAUUACGCCGGCCACAUACUGCCGUGUGCUUGGCGUUAUGUGUCGCGGCUCGGCGCAGGGAGGCCGCAAAAGCCGACGACGACGACGACAUAUUCAUGCGUGCGUUAUUAUGCGAGGGAGCCGUGAGUGCACUCGAGAGAUACGCGCACGCGUUCCACGACGUCCAAUUAACCGCACGCAUUUCGACACCAAAGGAAUUUCACGCGGAACGCGCGCGUGCCCUCGCCUAUUCUUCCAAUUCGAUUCUUAUCGGUCAUCGAUCAAAUUGAUCUCAAUGAUCUCAAAAGGUAUAAGAAGCUGUGUCUUGUUAAAAUAAUUAUUGAAUAUUUAUGUCUCAUUAUGUCUGCGAGGUUUCCAUAGUUUACAUUAGCGAAGAAUCAGUCACUUUGUAUUAGGAAUGUCAAUGUGCCAUUUACACAGUAAUUUUUAUGAAACUUUGAAUUUCAAAUUGAUGUACCAUAAGUGGUAUUUGCAAUACUUUUAUGUCAUGAAAUCAUCAUCAUCUCGAAGAGUAGUGUAUUAUGCUAAACUAGUCUUUCUUAUCAGAAUAAUUCAUAGUCCGACACUUUUCCACGAUCUUGCCUCGGUAUUUCCCUUCUUCACGACCAGGUUACCACUCUCCAGCCCUCCCCAUUUCUAACGCAUCAUCCCUGUAGCCGUCGUGUCGCUUUGGCACACAGGACACACAGAUGCGUCCCUCCAUUUUGCGCUCGCAUUGUUACUCCAAGUGCAGUCUCCCCAUUGUUACAAUGGCUGGCCACUCCUGGCAUUGUUACCGGUAUUGUUAUUAUUAUCGCUACUGUUACCGGUUGCGGCCGAACGGCGAAUGGAGAAGAGGAGAGCCAGCUGCUUCGUCGAGUGCCGCAUUAGAGGCAAAUUACACUCCCUCUGGUCCGCCCUCUCUCCUUCUCUAACCCCCCCUCUAUCUAUCACACUAUAUCAAUCUAUCCAUCUCUCUUGUUUAUAUACAUUUCCACCCCUUUUGCAGUCUCAAAAUUUUCAAACGUUCGAUCGGUAUCGGUUCGGCAAGCCUGGUAACCGCCGAUUGGUACCCACCCCCCUUUGGAACCAUUUUUUCGGGGGGCUUUCGUUGACGGACGUCGUUGUAGAAGGGGUUGAUGGGCGACGGGGAUGCUUUUAAAGAAUUUUAUGUAAUACUCUAUUGUUUAAAAGUAUUCUGAUACUCUGUAUUAAUUUGCAGAUGAGCAAUGGGACAAAGAAGUGUUGAAUUACGAAAGGAAACACGUCGGGGCCGACAGGACGCGUAAUUAAUCGGUCGCCACGGAUUAAACGAGCAAUUUGGAGCACGAAAUUGAUCGCAACAAUUUAAUCGCGAGAGGCAGCAACUACGGGUCUCCGUAAAUUAUGCCCGUUGAGUUACAACGAGUUUAAAGCUCGUUAAAAACGCGAAAGAUCGGCCGGUGCGAGCGAGAAGGAGGAAAGGAGAGAGAAGAAGUUAAUUAGAAGGAGUAGACAGAGAAAUAAAAAAGAAGAAAGAGAGAAAAUUUGUGACGGUAAAGAAGAAAGAGAGAGAGGGAAAAAUAUCAAGGGGAAUUUAGACGGCCCUGCCACGACUGGCGAAAAAAGAAAUAAAUAAAAAGGGAGACAUUAAUUAAAGUGCAAAACCACCUGGGAGACUUUGAUAAACCGAGCUACAAAGAAGUAACGAGGUCGCGUGUCAAAAAAUCAGAUAGAGAUCCACGGGCUCCUGUCGAUCAUUUCCUUGAAGAACCACCGAGACUUCUCGCGUGUUUGCACGACAUUGAACUCGCACGGUCCUCUUCAGUGCUCCCUCUUCGGGGUUGUUGCCGCUGUACGAGGUCGAAGAGGGUAGAUUCGGUGGUGAACUAUAAAAAGGAAGAUACUUGAAGAAAGCUUGCUUCGCAAAUAUUGCUUUAUCUUUAGCUCGCAUAAACCUUCCAGCCAUGUAUUUGCAAGGGAAUAUUAGGUGGUUCUAUAUGCAUACUCAAAGGGUGGAUAACUGAGCGUCGGAUGUCUAUAUUGCUCAUGGAUUAACAAGGAAUUAAUAAACAAGUGAACUCCAAUCAUAACUGCAAGAUCAAUAAAUGGAAGAGAAGAAGAAUCUGGAAAAAAAACCAUCGAGCAAUUGAUGGAGCCAUUUUCAAGCAUGAAAGCAAAAUGGCGAGCUCGCGAGUGAAGAAGAGCUAUAGUCAAGCGAUUGGUAGAUGGAGAAGAUGCGUCGACGAGCGAAUUGAACGGAGAGACGCACGGUAGACGAAACGGCAGACUGAACGAGGGGACGAGCGACCAGGAUGCAACCAAUGAGCUGCGCAACAAUUAUUUAUUGUUGCCAGACUGCCGCAUCGAGCCGAGCAGACUUGUCUGCCCAAUGAAGAUUGCUCGUUAAAAUCUGAUUCUGACCGGGUCGAUUGCUCUAAAUGGCCACCGCCAAAACGACCCGCUCGAAUCGGCCAAAUGAACGUACGUGCAAGGGAAACAAUAGCGGCAUCGAUGUACUUCAUCCUCCAUGAAAAAAUUGGAAUUUCAAUUAAGUAGGUAGCUAACAGUAGCCGAUGAAGAUGUGUUCGUAGCUUCUCAUUACGUGUACCGUGAAUUUCAUCCCACGGUCUCGAAGCUAAUUUGCUUUCAAAAGACGCGUUUAAAUCUCGUAUCGUUAAUCGUCUCCGAUCGAAGGCCAAGAGAGAAAAAUUUCGGCUUCCUAAGACAAUAUUGACACGUAGUUCAGCUGGAACGACUCUCUGACUGCCUACCUGGUCGAAUUCUAUCUCUCGUGCCUCGAACAAAUACACCUCUUCGAGGACUCUAUUUCUGACGCACCACCAUCAUUUGCUUAACACUUUCGGUAGUAAAGGUGAACGUGUCAGAUUGUACAAUUUUAACGCGUUGACCAUGGUUCCAUUCGAAAACAAGUGACACCUACUUCUGCUGCGGUCUACUUUUCUCUGUUCGUUGCAAGGACCAAUAGCGAUCAAAGGUAGAGACGAGAGUGGGCUUAGACCUCCCAACUCCCUUCUUCUUCUUCUUCUUCUUAAGGAAUAAUCGAACGGCUGAUUCGACAGAAAUCACCCUGACGUUUGAUGCUAACAAGUGCGGAGGCAACCAACGCCCCUGAGGUCGAUCGAUCCGAUUGGCCGAGAGACGUAGAUACACCCACGCGUACACCCACUACCUGCUCCCUGCAAUUAAUCUCCUCUCAGCAAUUAAUCCUCGUCGUGUUCGUGUGUACGGUAGAGAGCAGCGUGUGCGUAUCUCGAGUAUCGUGUUCUGUAGCAGGAGCAGGCAGGUGGACCGAUCCGGCUGAUCGAAGGGAAAUCGAGAUGGAUCGAGUUGCUGCUACAUUAUGUAGACUAAUGGAAUUUGUUGGAAGAUGAAGUUAAAAUAUAGUUGUUGAGGACAUAGUUAUCCCAGAAGCAAUGGAAAUAAAUGAAGCCCUAGAUAACGCAUAGGACAUCCUAACUUUGCACUUGGACAGUAGAUCAAGGUUCUCUGUAGGAUUAUUACGCGAUGAUCCAUGAGUUUAUCGAACGCUGGAUCGAUCAGGCUAACAAGAAAAACAUUUAACACGUACCUGAGUGGGCGUAAGGUUAAUUAGGGCGGCUAGGUGUUCUCGUUCGGG